CAGUCGAUGCUCGCUGCUCCGAUACAGGCGCAUGGACGCCGGAGCUCCCCUGCGCCACGCUGCUCCCCUGCUCUCCCGCGCGUCCUCCGCCGCCGUCGCAGCUGCUUCCUCUGCCGCUCCCUUUUGCCUCGCGCAGCUCCCCUGCCUCACGUGCCUACCUCCUGAAUCUCCCCUCUUUAACCCCAAAAAUUGCUUCUUCUUCCUCCCGCCGUGUCUCUUGCUCGCGCCCACCCCCUCCCACCUAGCAUUGAUGGAAGAAGCGUGGCCAGCCCUCGGCCUAGCGGCCAGCGAUGCGGCCUUCCCACCCCCGCCCCGGCCCCCGUGGCGUGGGGCGCGGCGGGAGACGGUGGCCAAGGAAUCGUCCGCGCGCAGGCGGUGAGCCAGAUCGUGUCCAGCUGCGCCAACUCAAGCGGCCUGGCCGUGGACGUCGUCGACGCCAACGCCAUCAUCUCGGGAGGCGCCGCGCUCACCUCCACCGCGGGCCGGCUGGUCACGGUGCUCGAGGAGGUGUUCGACGCCGCAACGCGCCGGAGGCUCGCGCUCCCGCCCACCCCCAUCGAGACCACCGAGCCCGCCCCUGAGUUCGUCAAGGGGGGGGGUCGAAUGUUUACUUAAGCCAGCCUAGAGCCUCGUACUGCUGCUUUCAUUUGCUGAAUAGAGCUUAAACUCUGCACUUUCAUGGACUUAAGUUCAUUUUACUCAUCGACUUACUUACCAUGUCAUAUGUUUCCAUUCUCUGCUCUCUAUUAUUGCUUGCUGCUCUUUGCAUUGCUGUAUUCAGUAGGGCCAGCUCGAACCGUGUGCACCGGGAAGAAGGCCAGCCCUAAGUUGAUGAAGGGAGAAAGCCAACAGGAUGCCCUGCAAAUCGAUUUCGAACAAGUUUACUGCACUACCUGACGGCCUCUCACAGUCUGCAAUCAGCCAACCACCUCUACUGGCUGCUGCCACUCCUCACAUUAGCUAGGUAAUUCCUCUUAAUUUCUAAGAAAGUUAUCCCCUGCUCUCCGUUGCAACAAGUGUAUGAAUUUUUAACUGAACUUCAACUGAAAAACUGUGUAUCACUGUAUAAAGGAGAAAAUGACUAUGGAUUAAAGGUCUGAGAAAACUGUGUACGUACACUGUGUAUCAUUGUAUCAUGGAGCAGUAUAGUACUGAAAACAUCUCCAUAAAUAAAUUUUGACAGUUUACAAAUUCAGAGUUUGGAGUACUAGCGAUUAUCUUCAGCAAGACAAGUUUACAAACAUCUCCAUAACUGAAUUUUACAAAUUCUCCAUAAAUGAAGACAUCUCCACAAAUUCUCCAUAAAUGAAUUUUGCUUGUACAUACACUGUGUACAAGCAAGAUAAAUUCAGCAAGACAAGUUUACAAAUUCUCCAUGAAUGAAUUUUGACAGUUUACAAACAUCUCCACGAAUCCAUGGAAAGACAAGUUUACAAAUUAUCUUCAGCAAUUAUCUUGCAGGUUCGUCAGCACUUGAAAGAACAGCCAUAGUAAAUUCAGAGUUUGGAGUACUAGCAAAUUAACUGAACCCUGAAACCUGAAAUUUUAACUGAAUUUUACCAUCUUCUUCCUGAGGAACACGAGCUCUGGGCUCUGGCGGCAGCACAAGGAGCAGGGCAGAGGAGCAGGACCUCGUCAGCGUGCUUCUUGCCGCGCGCCAGUCCUCGGCGCCGGGGGCGGGGCGGGGUCGGGAUCCUCGAUGCCGCGGGCGGCACUGGUGCUGGAGGUGACGCUGUUCCCCCCGCUCGCCGACAUAGCCGCUGCUCCACCCACUCCCCCCGGCCGUCACGUACCCCUCGUCUUCGUCCUCCUCAGCGAUCUCGUGGCCGGCGGCGGUGAAGUCUGCGGCAGGUCAGCGGCACGGAGGGAGAGCGUGGCCAGGGCCAAAUCAGCGGUCAGGGCCUCGCUGGCGGGGGCCGGAUCAGGGGCCAGGGCCUCGCUCCAGUUCUUCCCAAUGAACACGGAGCAACAUGAGCUUGAGCAGCCUCCGUGAGGCCGGCGCAGGUUGGCUGUCGUCGAGCUCUGGGUCCGAUGGCUGGUGCCGGCGUUGGCUGGGGCGACCACGGUGCUGGCGGGCGACGGAGGAAGGACGAAGAAGCAGUGGGGGAUGAUUAGCAACAGUUUAAAAGGUGGAAGGGUUUUUUCACAAAAUUACAAAUGAACUAAGGUGCGGACAACUUUUUUCGGAUGGAGGGAGUAGUUGUGAAUUUGAGAAAUACUAGUGUUGAAGUUUGUGAUUCCUGUUGCUUGCACGUAUGGUGAAUCGUUAUGUGAUGAAGUCGGAGCAUGAUUUAUUUUUUGA